GAUGAACGCUGGCGGCGUGCCUAAUACAUGCAAGUCGAGCGAACGGACGAGAAGCUUGCUUCUCUGAUGUUAGCGGCGGACGGGUGAGUAACACGUGGAUAACCUACCUAUGAGACUGGGAUAACUUCGGGAAACCGGAGCUAAUACCGGAUGAUAUUUUGAACCGCAUGGUUCAAAAGUGAAAGACGGUCUUGCUGUCACUUAUAGAUGGAUCCGCGCUGCAUUAGCUAGUUGGUAAGGUAACGGCUUACCAAGGCAACGAUGCAUAGCCGACCUGAGAGGGUGAUCGGCCACACUGGAACUGAGACACGGUCCAGACUCCUACGGGAGGCAGCAGUAGGGAAUCUUCCGCAAUGGGCGAAAGCCUGACGGAGCAACGCCGCGUGAGUGAUGAAGGUCUUCGGAUCGUAAAACUCUGUUAUUAGGGAAGAACAUAUGUGUAAGUAACUGUGCACAUCUUGACGGUACCUAAUCAGAAAGCCACGGAUAACUACGUG
rnacentral:rRNA from 1 species